rnacentral:rRNA from 1 species
UAGACCGCCUGGGGAGUACGGCCGCAAGGUUAAAACUCAAAUGAAUUGACGGGGGCCCGCACAAGCGGUGGAGCAUGUGGUUUAAUUCGAUGCAACGCGAAGAACCUUACCUGGUCUUGACAUCCACGGAAGAAUUCAGAGAUGGAUUUGUGCCUUCGGGAACCGUGAGACAGGUGCUGCAUGGCUGUCGUCAGCUCGUGUUGUGAAAUGUUGGGUUAAGUCCCGCAACGAGCGCAACCCUUAUCCUUUGUUGCCAGCGGUCCGGCCGGGAACUCAAAGGAGACUGCCAGUGAUAAACUGGAGGAAGGUGGGGAUGACGUCAAGUCAUCAUGGCCCUUACGACCAGGGCUACACACGUGCUACAAUGGCGCAUACAAAGAGAAGCGACCUCGCGAGAGCAAGCGGACCUCAUAAAGUGCGUCGUAGUCCGGAUUGGAGUCUGCAACUCGACUCCAUGAAGUCGGAAUCGCUAGUAAUCGUGGAUCAGAAUGCCACGGUGAAUACGUUCCCGGGCCUUGUACACACCGCCCGUCACACCAUGGGAGUGGGUUGCAAAAGAAGUAGGUAGCUUAACCUUCGGGAGGGCGCUUACCACUUUGUGAUUCAUGACUGGGGUGAAGUCGUAACAAGGUAACCGUAGGGGAACCUGCGGUUGGAUCACCUCCUUACCUUAAAGAA